GAUGAACGCUGGCGGCGUGCCUAAUACAUGCAAGUCGAGCGAACGGACGAGAAGCUUGCUUUUCUGAUGUUAGCGGCGGACGGGUGAGUAACACGUGGAUAACCUACCUAUAAGACUGGGAUAACUUCGGGAAACCGGAGCUAAUACCGGAUAAUAUUUUGAACCGCAUGGUUCAAAAGUGAAAGACGGUCUUGCUGUCACUUAUAGAUGGAUCCGCGCUGCAUUAGCUAGUUGGUAAGGUAACGGCUUACCAAGGCAACGAUGCAUAGCCGACCUGAGAGGGUGAUCGGCCACACUGGAACUGAGACACGGUCCAGACUCCUACGGGAGGCAGCAGUAGGGAAUCUUCCGCAAUGGGCGAAAGCCUCACGGAGCAACGCCGCGUGAGUGAUGAAGGUCUUCGGAUCGUAAAACUCUGUUAUUAGGGAAGAACAUAUGUGUAAGUAACUGUGCACAUCUUGACGGUACCUAAUCAGAAAGCCACGGCUAACUACGUG
rnacentral:rRNA from 1 species